AAGUCGUAACAAGGUUUCCGUAGGUGAACCUGCGGAAGGAUCAUUACCUGGCCUUGGGCCGCUCGCGGGGGUGCGUCGCUUGCGAUGACGCUCCCGGGGGCGCUUAGCCCUUGACUAUCACCUUGAUUAUGUGCACCUUUGUUGUUCCCUCGGCAGCUCGCUGCCGCCAGGGACCCCGAAACCCCCUUGCAUUAGCAUCAAAACCUCUGAAAACAAACCUAAUUAUUUACAACUUUCAACAAUGGAUCUCUUGGUUCUGGCAUCGAUGAAGAACGCAGCGAAAUGCGAUAAGUAGUGUGAAUUGCAGAAUUCAGUGAAUCAUCGAAUCUUUGAACGCACAUUGCGCCCCUUGGUAUUCCAUGGGGCAUGCCUGUUCGAGCGUCAUUUACACCCUCAAGCUCUGCUUGGUGUUGGGCGUCUGUCCGCGCUGCCCGCGCGGACUCGCCCCAAAGGUAUUGGCAGCGGUCUUGCCAGCUUCUCGCGCAGCACAUUGCGCUUCUCGAGGCUCCGGCGGAUCGGCGUCCAUCAAGUCACACCCACAGUUUGACCUCGGAUCAGGUAGGGAUACCCGCUGAACUUAAGCAUAUCAAUAAGCGGAGGAAAAGAAACCAACAGGGAUUGCCCUAGUAACGGCGAGUGAAGCGGCAACAGCUCAAAUUUGAAAUCUGGCCUCCUUUGGGGGUCCGAGUUGUAAUUUGCAGAGGGUGCUUUGGCGUCGGCAGCGGUCUAAGUUCCUUGGAACAGGACAUCACAGAGGGUGAGAAUCCCGUACGUGGUCGCCUGCCUUCGCCGUGUAAAGCCCCUUCGACGAGUCGAGUUGUUUGGGAAUGCAGCUCUAAAUGGGAGGUAAAUUUCUUCUAAAGCUAAAUACCGGCCAGAGACCGAUAGCGCACAAGUAGAGUGAUCGAAAGAUGAAAAGCACUUUGGAAAGAGAGUCAAACAGCACGUGAAAUUGUUGAAAGGGAAGCGCUUGCAGCCAGACUUGCUCGUAGUUGCUCAUCCGGGUCCGCCCGGAGCACUCUUCUGCGAGCAGGCCAGCAUCAGUUUGGGCGACCGGAUAAAGGCCUCUGUCAUGUAUCUUCCUUCGGGAUGACCUUAUAGGGGAGGCGUAAUGCGGCCAGCCCGGACUGAGGUCCGCGCAUCUGCUAGGAUGCUGGCGUAAUGGCUGUAAGCGGCC
rnacentral:rRNA from 1 species